UGUACUUUCCAGGAACAGCAACAGAAACAGAUUGCAUGAACUCCUUCAGACAGAAGUGGGGAGCAUCUGUUUCCCAUGUUAUGGAAGGCUCAUGUUUCUCCUCCACUGUCUUCCUUGAACAUGCUCCAAUUAACAGAGGGAAAACAAAGGCCAAUAUUUACAUGGCCGUCCACUGCAGAGGCAUUUUAAAAGUCAAUAAUUUGCUGAGAAUGCUUGUUAUUAUGUGAAUAACAUGGGAAAUGAGUACGUUUUCAUGGUGGAAUUUUACAAUGUCAAGAUGACAGAUUGACUGACAGGUGAACUUUUUUUUGGCAUGGCUAGCUAGCUACAUAGCUGGCUAAUGGUUUUAUUUGAAGAAUGUAUCUGGACACAGUACCGGCUUUGUUUUGCUUCACCUGGCUGCCAAUUCCUAAUCUUCUGCUAACAUCAUUUGAGGAGUCGCCUGAAGCGUAAGAGGAAUGGGAGACGGAGGAAUACAGCAGUGCUGAGGCAGAGGGCUGGUAGUGGACGACUGGCUACUAUUCUGAACUUUGUGUGGUGAGCUUUCUGGCACCCAGAGCUACCGAGGCAUCACCCAAGUUGGUGUUACACAGAGUGGAAGAGGAGAAGUCCAGCGGCUAUAAGAGACAGGCUGGUUUCCUGACUUGCCCUCUACAAGAUCAUCAGCGGGCUCCAUCACCAUCAUCUGCCAUCCUCUGACCAGAUCCCUACACUUGAGCCAUGAACUGACCCUCUCAAUCUUCGGAGGAUGCAGCUUACAAAGACUUGGCCUCUAUUGAGUGACCUGUCAUGACAUAUUGCUUGUUUUUUUGCUCUUAAAGCGCUUUGAAAUUCUCAGAUAAGCGCUAUAGAAAUGUAAUACAUUAUUAUUAUUAUUAUUAUUAUCAUCAUCAUUAGUGUUGGUCCAAGACAGACAAGCAUGUCAUCACUAACCCACAUGACCUAUCUGGAGAGGAAUGUUUUGUGCUGAAAACAAAGGGCAAUAUAUACCUUACUGUUGCGUAAUUCUCCUGAGGCUCAUGUCAUCAAAUAGCUAAUAAGUAGCACAAAACCAGUGAUACUUAAAAUAUCUAUGGAUAAAAGAAGUUAACACCAUUGCUGCAUGAAAAACAG
ensembl:lncRNA